UACGUAGGGGGCUAGCGUUGUCCGGAAUCAUUGGGCGUAAAGAGCGUGUAGGCGGCCCGGUAAGUCCGCUGUAAAAGUCAAAGGCUCAACCUUUGAAUGUCAGUGGAUACUGCCGGGCUAGAGUCCGGAAGAGGCGAGUGGAACUCUUGGUGUAGCGGUGGAAUGCGCAGAUAUCAGGAAGAACACCAACGGCGAAGGCAGCUCGCUGGGACGGUACUGACGCUGAGACGCGAAAGCGUGGGGAGCGAACAGG
rnacentral:rRNA from 1 species